rnacentral:rRNA from 1 species
GGCGGACGGGUGAGUAAUGUAUAGUUAAUCUGCCCUUUAGAGGGGGAUAACAGUUGGAAACGACUGCUAAUACCCCAUACUCCUUUUUCAUUAAUUGUAAUUGGGAAAUGUUUUUCGCUAAAGGAUGAGACUAUAUGGUAUCAGGUAGUUGGUGGGGUAAGAGCCUACCAAGCCAAUGACGCCUAGCUGGUCUGAGAGGAUGAUCAGCCACACUGGAACUGAGACACGGUCCAG